UACGUAGGGACCAAGCGUUGUUCGGAUUUACUGGGCGUAAAGGGCGCGUAGGCGGCUUGACAAGUCACUUGUGAAAUCUCCGGGCUUAACUCGGAAUGGCCAAGUGAAACUGUCAUGCUAGAGUGCAGAAGGGGCAAUCGGAAUUCUUGGUGUAGCGGUGAAAUGCGUAGAUAUCAAGAGGAACACCUGAGGUGAAGACGGGUCUCUGGGCCGAUACUGACGCUGAGGAGCGAAAGCGUGGGGGACGAACAGGA
rnacentral:rRNA from 1 species